ACCUAUGGACUUUGCCAAAAAAAAUUUUCCAUGUGAACUUGAGUUUGCAAGGCCCUUUUUUCUUUCCCAAAAACUCUGCGUUCUGAUAAAGGACAUCUGUGACAAGAUGGAACUUGGCACCAGUAACUCAUGUACUAUGGGUGAAGCAUGCUCAGAAGAGGUAGUCCUGCGUCUUGUAAAUGGCUCUGGGUGAAUCCAAAGAACUGCAUGUGAUUUGUCAGGCGUUUUUAAGAUAAAUGGUAAAACUGAACUGGAAAUCCAUCUGGCCAGCUGCCUGAUCUAAUGAAUAACCCCACUUUGGCUCCUGCAAUGUAAGCAGAAAGAGUUCUCUCCCGGCCGCUUUCGUCUGUCAUGAAUCUACAAGACAGCCGACAUAAUAUCUGGGCGACAACAGCGUGCUAACAGUGCAGUGACUUCCAUUUUCUUUGCUUUCUAUUGAUUUUCACUUAAUAACUGGCGAAAUACUAAACGUCCGCCCUGAGUACCUAAUAAAUCCUGCCUGAGCUUUUUAUUGAGGAGAAUUUAAUAAA